UACGUAGGUGGCGAGCGUUGUCCGGAAUUAUUGGGCGUAAAGGGAGCGCAGGCGGAAGGACAAGCCAGAUUUGAAAGUUCGGGGCUCAGCCCCGUGACGGAUCUGGAACUGUUCUCCUUGAGAGCGGGAGAAGGAAGCGGAAUUCUUGGUGUAGCGGUGAAAUGCGUAGAUAUCAGGAAGAACACCAGUGGCGAAAGCGGCUUUCCGGACCGAAUCUGACGCUGAGGCUCGAAAGCCAGGGGAGCGAACGGG
rnacentral:rRNA from 1 species